GACGAACGCUGGCGGCGUGCUUAACACAUGCAAGUCGAACGAAGUGGCGAACGGGUGAGUAAUACGUGGGUAACCUGCCCUCCUUUUUGGGAUAAGCCUUGGAAACGGGGUCUAAUACCGAAUAGAGGGGGAUGGGGUCGAGGGCUAUCAGCUUGUUGGUGGGGUGAUGGCCUACCAAGGCGGUGCCGGGUAGCCGGCCUGAGAGGGUGACCGGCCACAGUGGGACUGGGGUACGGGCCAGAGGGCUACUGGGGGCAGCAGUGGGGGAUAUUGCACAAUGGGCGAAAGCCUGAUGCAGCGACGCCGCGUGGGGAAUGAAGGCUUUCGGGUUGUAAACUCCUUUAACCAUCGACGCGGUAGAUGGAGAAGAAGCACCGGCUAACUACGUGCCAGCAGCCGCGGUAAUAC
rnacentral:rRNA from 1 species